rnacentral:rRNA from 1 species
CGCAGCAAUUGACGUUACCCGCAGAAGAAGCACCGGCUAACUCCGUGCCAGCAGCCGCGGUAAUACGGAGGGUGCAAGCGUUAAUCGGAAUUACUGGGCGUAAAGCGCACGCAGGCGGUCUGUCAAGUCGGAUGUGAAAUCCCCGGGCUCAACCUGGGAACUGCAUUCGAAACUGGCAGGCUUGAGUCUUGUAGAGGGGGGUAGAAUUCCAGGUGUAGCGGUGAAAUGCGUAGAGAUCUGGAGGAAUACCGGUGGCGAAGGCGGCCCCCUGGACAAAGACUGACGCUCAGGUGCGAAAGCGUGGGGAGCAAACAGGAUUAGA